rnacentral:rRNA from 1 species
GACGAAGGGAGCGGGCGUUAUCCAUAAUGACUGAGCGUAAAGGGUUCGUAGGUGGUUUUGUCUUGUUGUGAGUGAAAGACCAAAUAAAACUUUGGAAGGAUUUACAAGACAGCUUAACUAGAGGAAAACAAAAGAAAGCAGAAUUUUGCAAGGAGGGAUGGUAUCCAUAGAUAUGCAAAGGAAGAUCAAGGUGCACAGGCGGCUUUCUAGUUUUUUACUAACACUGGGGAACUAAAGCGUGGGGAGCCAACAGG